GACAGAGGGUGCAAACGUUGUUCGGAAUUACUGGGCGUAAAGCGCGUGUAGGCUGCCCAGCAAGUCGGAUGUGAAAGCCCUCGGCUUAACUGAGGAAGUGCACCCGAAACUGAGUAGCUAGAGUACUAAAGAGGGUCGCGGAAUUCCCGGUGUAGAGGUGAAAUUCGUAGAUAUCGGGAGGAACACCGGUGGCGAAGGCGGCGACCUGGGUAGAUACUGACGCUGAGGCGCGAAAGCGUGGGGAGCAAACAGG
rnacentral:rRNA from 1 species